UGGUGGUUUGACCAAUCAUCUGUUCGUAUGUUCUCUGCCAGAUACCAAAGCGAACCCUGUGAACAUUAACAAAGUUCUUCUUCGUCUCUAUGGAGCUUUCUACAGUGACAUGUCUGAUAGUACUGUCAGGAUGAUGGAAGAAUGUAUUAUAUGUGGCCUGUUGGCAGAGAAAAAUAUGGGUCCUGAUCUUUAUGGAAUAUUUCCUGAGGGUAGGCUGGAGCAGUUUAUACCUGAUGUGAG